UGAUGAGAAAAUCUCCGGAAUCGCUGAACCUCUGUGCUGAUUCCCUCGAACCCUUGUCUGUCUGAUGACUGCCGGGAGCGCGCC
rnacentral:snoRNA from 1 species